rnacentral:rRNA from 1 species
UACGUAGGGCGCAAGCGUUGUCCGGAAUUAUUGGGCGUAAAGAGCUCGUAGGCGGUCUGUCGCGUCGGUUGUGAAAACCCAAGGCUCAACCUUGGGCCUGCAAUCGAUACGGGCAGACUAGAGUACUGCAGGGGAGACUGGAAUUCCUGGUGUAGCGGUGGAAUGCGCAGAUAUCAGGAGGAACACCGGUGGCGAAGGCGGCUCUCUGGACCGACACUGACGCUGAGGCGCGAAAGCGUGGGGAGCAAACAGG